GACGAACGCUGGCGGCGUGCCUAAUACAUGCAUGUCGAGCGGAUGAGAGAGGAGCUUGCUCCUCUAGAUUCAGCGGCGGACGGGUGAGUAACACGUGGGCAACCUGCCCUGUAGAUUGGGAUAACUCCGGGAAACCGGGGCUAAUACCGAAUAAUCCUUCGGACCUCAUGGUCCGAUGUUGAAAGCCGGUUUCGGCUGUCACUACAGGAUGGGCCCGCGGCGCAUUAGCUAGUCGGUGAGGUAACGGCUCACCAAGGCCACGAUGCGUAGCCGACCUGAGAGGGUGAUCGGCCACACUGGGACUGAGACACGGCCCAGACUCCUACGGGAGGCAGCAGUAGGGAAUCUUCCACAAUGGACGAAAGUCUGAUGGAGCAACGCCGCGUGAGUGAAGAAGGUUCUCGGAUCGUAAAACUCUGUUGUGAGGGAAGAACAAGUACCGGAGUAACUGCCGGUGCCUUGACGGUACCUCAUUAGAAAGCCACGGCUAACUACGUGCCAGCCGCCGCCGUAA
rnacentral:rRNA from 1 species